UAGGGACGGUACCUUGCUCAGGGGUACCUCAGGGCAGCCGUUCAGUGGAUUCGAACCCCCAACAUUCCGAUCAUGGGGCGACGACUCUACCUACUAUUCCUGCUAUUCCUGCCCUUUUUUCAGCUACCGGCUGGUUUAGAAGGCAUGGAAGUGUUUGAUCUGCUUUCGGAACAGGUGUAACCUGUCUUCUCUGGAGGACUUUUGUGAGACGAAUGAUAACCCAGCAUAGGUUUGGUGAUAGAGGAUUUCAGAUGCUCUUUGAAGAUCAUCAAACUGACAAUAUCGAGGCAUGCUCUUGAUGAUCUCCUCCCGAAUGUGGACCAGGGGAUCACUGAGCUCCUGGACAGUCUGAGGUGCAACCUGGCAGUGUCGAAUGGAUGAAAAGAUAAUGUGUUGUACUGAAUUUAGGUCAGAUGAGCAUGGGGGCCAGUUAAUGGUAUCAUUUACCAGAUCAUGCAGAAACUGCUUGCAAACUCUCACAACACGAGGCCAGGCAUUGUCAUGCAACAGGAACACAGGACCCACUGCACUAGCGCAGGGUCUCACAACAGGUCGAAGGAUUUAAUGCUGAUACCUAAUGGUAGUCAGGGUGCUGUUGCCUAGUCUGUAGAGGUCUGUGCGCCCCUCCACGGAUAUGCUUCCCCAGACCUUCACUGACCCGCCACGAAAUUGACCAUGAUGAAUGAUGUUACAGGGAGCAUCAAGUUCUACAUGGCUUCUCUAGACCCUUGUACCUCUGUCACACGUGCUUAGGGUGAACCUGCUGUCAUCUGUGAAAAACACUGCCAGUUCUUGUAUUCUAUAUCAAAUGCCAAUCAGGCUCCAUGGGGCUAGGCAGUGAGCACAAGGCCUGCUAGAGGAAGCUGGGCCCUCAUGAAGUCUGUUUCUGUUUGUUUAGUUGGAGACAGUUGCACCAGCUCCAGCUGGAGGUCGUUUUGUAACACUCUGGCAGUGCUCAUCCUGUUUCAUCCUUGCACAAAGGAGCAGAUACCAGCUCUGCUGAUGGGUUAAGGACCUUAUACGGCCCUGUCUAACUCUCCUAGAGUAACUACCUGUCUCCUGGAAUCUCCUUCAUGCUUUUCAGACUAUGGAGGAGGUUGCACUCCCUCACCAGUAGUGACACUGACCCUAGUCAAAUGCAUAACUAUUGAGAAAACAGUCAGAAAAGAUAAGGAAGGAAAAGAUUUCACUGUCAGCCAUGACAGAUACAAAAAGUAUGUUUGGUCAUUUUUUCUUUGUUUUUGGGGGAGGGGUUGUUUGUUUGUUUUUUCUGUUUGUUUUUUCUGAGGCAAACCUAUUUGUCCCUCCAUUUCUUUGUACAUUUCCUUUUCACAUGUCAGGUUACAGCUAGAUUACAGCGCAGGGUUUCACAGGUUUGCUAUUAUGAUGUACCUACAGCGUGAAUUAAACACAAAAGUCUAAAUUCUCUUUUAACAGGAAAUGACUUCUUGGCUGUCUGAUCUCCAGCUACCCUUGUGUCUUUUUCUUGUAUGAAAGAGGGAAGUAGGACAGCAGGUUAUGUGCUUAGUCAGACAACACUGUGUGCUUUUGAGCACAGAUAAAGGUUUUGUAACAAAA